rnacentral:rRNA from 2 species
CGUAUCACUUAAAGCGAUUCAGCGGGUUACGAUUGACGGAGCGAAGCGACGUCAAAGCGUAUACAAAGUCGAGUCGGUUUAAGGAUACGUUCGUUGGGUAGGGGAGCGUUCUGUAAGCCUGUGAAGGUGUGUCGUGAGGCAUGCUGGAGGUAUCAGAAGUGCGAAUGCUGACAUAAGUAACGAUAAAGCGGGUGAAAAGCCCGCUCGCCGGAAGACCAAGGGUUCCUGUCCAACGUUAAUCGGGGCAGGGUGAGUCGACCCCUAAGGCGAGGCCGAAAGGCGUAGUCGAUGGGAAACGGGUUAAUAUUCCCGUACUUGGUGUUACUGCGAAGGGGGGACGGAGAAGGCUAUGUUGGCCGGGCGACGGUUGUCCCGGUUUAAGCGUGUAGGUGUGUGUUCCAGGUAAAUCCGGUUCACUUUAACACUGAGGCGUGACGACGAGGCACUACGGUGCUGAAGCAACAAAUGCCCUGCUUCCAGGAAAAGCCUCUAAGCAUCAGGUAACAUCAAAUCGUACCCCAAACCGACACAGGUGGUCAGGUAGAGAAUACCAAGGCGCUUGAGAGAACUCGGGUGAAGGAACUAGGCAAAAUGGUGCCGUAACUUCGGGAGAAGGCACGCUGACACGUAGGUGAAGUGAUUUACUCAUGGAGCUGAAGUCAGUCGAAGAUACCAGCUGGCUGCAACUGUUUAUUAAAAACACAGCACUGUGCAAACACGAAAGUGGACGUAUACGGUGUGACGCCUGCCCGGUGCCGGAAGGUUAAUUGAUGGGGUCAGCGCAAGCGAAGCUCCUGAUCGAAGCCCCGGUAAACGGCGGCCGUAACUAUAACGGUCCUAAGGUAGCGAAAUUCCUUGUCGGGUAAGUUCCGACCUGCACGAAUGGCGUAAUGAUGGCCAGGCUGUCUCCACCCGAGACUCAGUGAAAUUGAACUCGCUGUGAAGAUGCAGUGUACCCGCGGCAAGACGGAAAGACCCCGUGAACCUUUACUAUAGCUUGACACUGAACAUUGAGCCUUGAUGUGUAGGAUAGGUGGGAGGCUUUGAAGCGUGGACGCCAGUCUGCGUGGAGCCGACCUUGAAAUACCACCCUUUAAUGUUUGAUGUUCUAACGUGGACCCGUGAUCCGGGUUGCGGACAGUGUCUGGUGGGUAGUUUGACUGGGGCGGUCUCCUCCUAAAGAGUAACGGAGGAGCACGAAGGUUGGCUAAUCCUGGUCGGACAUCAGGAGGUUAGUGCAAUGGCAUAAGCCAGCUUGACUGCGAGCGUGACGGCGCGAGCAGGUGCGAAAGCAGGUCAUAGUGAUCCGGUGGUUCUGAAUGGAAGGGCCAUCGCUCAACGGAUAAAAGGUACUCCGGGGAUAACAGGCUGAUACCGCCCAAGAGUUCAUAUCGACGGCGGUGUUUGGCACCUCGAUGUCGGCUCAUCACAUCCUGGGGCUGAAGUAGGUCCCAAGGGUAUGGCUGUUCGCCAUUUAAAGUGGUACGCGAGCUGGGUUUAGAACGUCGUGAGACAGUUCGGUCCCUAUCUGCCGUGGGCGCUGGAGAACUGAGGGGGGCUGCUCCUAGUACGAGAGGACCGGAGUGGACGCAUCACUGGUGUUCGGGUUGUCAUGCCAAUGGCACUGCCCGGUAGCUAAAUGCGGAAGAGAUAAGUGCUGAAAGCAUCUAAGCACGAAACUUGCCCCGAG